GAUGAACGCUGGCGGCGUGCCUAAUACAUGCAAGUCGAGCGAACAGACGAGGAGCUUGCUCCUCUGACGUUAGCGGCGGACGGGUGAGUAACACGUGGAUAACCUACCUAUAAGACUGGGAUAACUUCGGGAAACCGGAGCUAAUACCGGAUAAUAUAUUGAACCGCAUGGUUCAAUAGUGAAAGACGGUUUUGCUGUCACUUAUAGAUGGAUCCGCGCCGCAUUAGCUAGUUGGUAAGGUAACGGCUUACCAAGGCAACGAUGCGCAGCCGACCUGAGAGGGUGAUCGGCCUCACCGGAACAGAAAAGCCGUCCAGGCUCCUGGGGGAGGAAGCAGGGAGGACUCCUCCGCAAAGGCGCGUAGCCUCACGGAUAACCCCCGCGUGAUGAAUGAAGUUCUUCGGGCUGAAAAACUUUGUUAUUAGGGAAAAAUAAAUGUUUAAGUAACGACCCACGUCUGGAUGGUACCUAUUCAGGAACCCCCGGCUACCUUGC
rnacentral:rRNA from 1 species